rnacentral:rRNA from 1 species
AAUGAACGCUGGCGGCAUGCCUAACACAUGCAAGUCGAACGAGUGGCGGACGGGUGAGUAAUGUCUGGGAAACUGCCUGAUGGAGGGGGAUAACUACUGGAAACGUUAGCUAAUACUGCUUAACAUCGUAUGUGCCAAGAGGGGAUUAGCUAGUAGGUGGGGUAAAGGCUCACCUAGGCGACGAUGCCUAGCUGGUCUGAGAGGAUGACCGGCCACACUGGAACUGAGACACGGUCCAGACUCCUACGGGAGGCAGCAGUGGGGAAUAUUGCACAAUGGGCGCAAGCCUGAUGCAGCAAUGCCGCGUGUAUGAAGAAGGCUUUCGGGUUGUAAAGUACUUUCAGCGGGGAGGCGUUACCCGAAGAAGAAGCACCGGCUAACUCCGUGCCAGCAGCCGCGGUAAUUC